UCUCUAUUCAAUUAGGGUCUAAACUCUAAAGAUUAGGGCAUUAGCAUUAGGCACUAGGCAGUCACGAACUCAGCUCACUCCUCAGUCCUCACUCCUCACUCCUCAGAAAGUCAAUUCCGAUUUAGGGCGAUAGUUUCACAAAUUCCGGGCAAACGAAGACCAAAUACAGAAAGAGAUCGGCUGUUGUUGCGAUAGUUUCACAAAUUCAGAAAGAGAUGGGCCGUUGUUUCAAAAGCUUGUUGGGACUUCAAAGAGAUCGGCUGCUAAUCAAAAUUCAAAGGUGUUUGCUCUGUUUGUGGAUGGCCUUUUUUCGAAGAAUGUUGGUUGUUCAGGUGUUUCCAGUUGGUAAAUAUAAUUGCAGUGUGUAAAUGUAACUGCAGGUGUUUCCUAAAAUGUUGGUUGUUCAGGUGUUCUUGGCAAUGGCAGUGUGUAAAUGUAAUUGGGACACUGCAAAUGUAAUUGGCAGUGUAAAAUAUUGGAUGUUCAGGUGUUUUUAUUUUGUUUUGAAUAUGGUAUUUUCAAAUAGAAAAAAAAAGAAGAAUAUAGAAUUAUAGAUAGCAAGUUUAAGUGUUUCCAAUUUCCAUAUACUACUACAGAAAGCCAAAAAUUUUGUUGGCAUUCGAAUUGUUUC